rnacentral:rRNA from 1 species
GACGAACGCUGGCGGCGUGCCUAAUACAUGCAAGUAGAACGCUGAAGGAGGAGCUUGCUCUUCUGGAUGAGUUGCGAACGGGUGAGUAACGCGUAGGUAACCUGCCUGGUAGCGGGGGAUAACUAUUGGAAACGAUAGCUAAUACCGCAUAACAGUAGAUGUUGCAUGACAUUUACUUAAAAGGUGCAAUUGCAUCACUACCAGAUGGACCUGCGUUGUAUUAGCUAGUUGGUGGGGUAACGGCUCACCAAGGCGACGAUACAUAGCCGACCUGAGAGGGUGAUCGGCCACACUGGGACUGAGACACGGCCCAGACUCCUACGGGAGGCAGCAGUAGGGAAUCUUCGGCAAUGGACGGAAGUCUGACCGAGCAACGCCGCGUGAGUGAAGAAGGGUUUCGGAUCGUAAAGCUCUGUUGUAAGAGAAGAACGAGUGUGAGAGUGGAAAGUUCACACUGUGACGGUAGCUUACCAGAAAGAGACGGCUAACUACGUG